ensembl:snRNA U6 U6 spliceosomal RNA
GCAUUUGCUUUGGUAGUCCAUAUACUAAAAUUGGAAUGAUACAGAGAAGAGUAGCAUACCAGAUGUGUAAGGAUGACACAGAAAUUCAUGUAGAGUUCCACAAUUUA